UACGUAGGGUGCGAGCGUUGUCCGGAAUUAUUGGGCGUAAAGAGCUCGUAGGCGGUGUGUUACGUCGGCCGUGAAACCUGCAGCUUAACUGUGGGCGUGCGGUCGAUACGGGCAUCACUGGAGUUCGGCAGGGGAGACUGGAAUUCCUGGUGUAGCGGUGGAAUGCGCAGAUAUCAGGAGGAACACCGGUGGCGAAGGCGGGUCUCUGGGCAGUAACUGACGCUGAGGAGCGAAAGCGUGGGAGCGAACAGGA
rnacentral:rRNA from 1 species